CGUUGUAGCUCAGUAGGUAGAGCGUGUGACUGUUAAUCACAAGGUCCAAGGUUCGAUCCCUUGCAA
rnacentral:tRNA from 1 species